AGUUGCCUUUGAUUUAAAAGGAUAAUUAGUACAGACUAUGCGGUAUGCAAAGUAGAACAAAAAAGCACAAAUGGUACUUUUUAAUUUCUAGGACAAUCCCUAGUUUCUUGAUUUAGCAAGAAACAAAAUUCCAUCACACUAUUAACCGCCAAUGCUGAAUAUGUGGCCGCCAAAAGUUGUUGUGCUCAAAUGCUUUAGAUAAAACAAUAAAUGGGGGAAUAUAAUUUAUAUUUUGAUUAUAUUUCAAUCAAUUGUGAUGAUACAAGUGCUAUAAUGUUGUCUAAGAAUCCCAUAUAACAUUCUAGAACAAAGCACAAUGAGAUUCGAUAUCAUUUUCUAAGAGAUCACAUCCAAAAAAGGAAUAUUGAACUUAUAUAUAUGCACACCGAUAAGCAAUAGGCAGAUAUUUUUAUAAAAUCACUUGAUAAGAAAGAUUUUAUUUCAUGAGACGUGAACUUAAUAUGUCUCAACCAAUGUGAAUAUAUUUUGAUUUCUUAAUUAAAUUCAUAAUACUUGAGUUAGUAGGAAUUGAGAAAGAAUAGUUUAAAUCAAAAUUUAUUCUAUAUGAAUAAAUUUAAUUGAUCUAAUAUAAGUUUAUUGAUCGACAAAAAUGUGCAUAGAAGUCUCAAAUUUUGAGAUACAUGAAAUUGAUUCAUAGAAUUAUAUUUUAUAGUUGUUUUAUGUAAGUGUGACUUGUGUGAAGAAAAAAAAUGAGCAGUAAGAUCAAACUUAAGUCAAAAUUCCUUACUGUCAAAUUUUGCAGAUAUAGUAGGAACUUCAUUUGAUCGAACUUGAAGUUUGGUUGAUCGAAGUUGCUAAAUUAAAAGGUCAUGUAUACAUUAAAAAGAACAUUAAUUGAGUCCUAGAAAACCUAUUUCUCUUAAAUACUAAUAUCUUAUAAACACUUAUCUAUUACUCUCUCUCUUUACCUCACUAAAGAAAACACAACCCAUACAAUUCUCUCAAAAUGUUUCAUCAAAUUAGUGUUCUUCAACUUCCAAUUUUCCUGAUUCACUCAACCUCUUGGAAGUUCGAUCGACAAAUCGCAAAAAUAUUGUUGACCGAAUUCACAACUUUGAUCUACUGAAGUAGCAGAAACUACGGGAUAAGAGGGAGGGAUAGAGUUUCAAAUGUUUUCAAGCUUCAAUUUCUUACCCUUUUUAGCUUCUAUCAGAUUCCUCGAGGACAUCUAUCUCUUUUAUCUCAUUAUAAAUAAACCCUAUACCUAUUCCUUAUCAUCAUAUCAAAAUCUCUCAAACCCUAGAUCAAAAGUCUAUGAUUUUUCAGACCAUGAUGCAUCCGAGAACCAAGCACGCAUCGAACGAUCCAAGAGGUGAGAAUACCAAUCCUAAACCUCAAAUGGAGUUCAAACCACAACUAUUCAAGAACAGGAAAAUCCAAAAGACAUGGCUAUCCGAGUUCAAAGAAAGGCCAAUCAUCACGGGAAGGAAAUUUAAGAAAAAUUUCCCACUCAAGUACUACAAGAAAAUGUUGGUGCCAUUGGAACCUCUUGGAUGGAAUGGAUGGCAUCCUCUUCCAACGGACAUGUACUCAAACUUGGUAAGGGUUUUCUACUGCAACUGAGAAGUAGGAAACCUAGAUAAUAUUGUGUACACAAUUGACUCAAAUGUUAGAGGGAAAUAUAUAGUCCUCAAUCCCACGAUCUUAUCUAAGAUCACAGGGAUUGUUAAUGCUAGGGACUACAUCUUUUUCAACAAGUCAAGCCAACUUGAUCAAUAUGUGAGUUAAAAACAUAUGAAUAAAAUGAUCUCCAUAAAUGGAAUAUUAAAAGCCACACAAACCAAGGAUAUGAUAAAGGAAUUCAGACUAUUCCAUACAUCACUUACAAUAUAAUUUCUAAGAAGAGACAUUAUAAUCAAGUGACAACUACGAUAGAAGAGCCUCAUAAUCUAAACUAUAUAAUUCUAAAUGAGAUUGCUAAUAUGAGAAACCAUAGUAGUCGAGCCCUACAUUUUGGUGCUCUCUUGACUAAAAUUUUCAAACACUUUAGAGUCAAGUUUAACAACCAAAUCAAUCAAUAUAUAGGUGGACGUUUUCCUAAACAAAUGAUAAAAAGAGAGACAAGUGUGUUCUCCUCCGAUAAGGAAGAAGAAGAAAGAAGUCACAGUGAUAUGGAGGUUGCAGGAAACUUUGAGGAUCUUCCCCCACAAACCGAGGAAACUUAUGAGGAACUAAGCACUCAAGUGUUCCAACUCCAAAUACAAGAAAAGGAAACGAUGCAGUGGGAGAAUCUUAUGCAAGAAAGGCUUUCAUCGCAAUACGUGCAUUCGACAUGAUUCUUGGAGUACUUUGGAAAGCUCAAUGCCAUAAUGAAACGCGUGGAGCAGCGCCAAGAGAAGUAAGUAGAAUAUUUUGAGCAAAUAGAGUAACGCCAAGAGAAGAAGGAAAGAUACAUUGAGAGGCUCGGUGACUUGUACGAGAACUUGUAUGAGCAGCAAAUCAACUUCAAUAAGCAAUACAACGAUAGGAUGACCAACAUGGAAACUCAGCUUUAGUAUCUCUAGUUCACAACUCAUCCUCCAGCUGAUUUUCCUCUUCCUCCUCCUCCUACACCAUUCGAUGCCCCUAGCUCUUCAUACCGGCCUUCUUGACCUGGACCUAUUGAUGAUUCCCUGAAGGGGGAGAAGAUUUUAGUUUUUUGAUUUAAUUUUUUUAAACAAAUUUCUGAUCAUUUAAAAUUUUUGUUUUAAAAGAAUGUGGUUUGUUUUUUAAUCUAUCUUAGUGUUUGAUAUGCUCCUUUUACAUGCCAUGUUGCUGUGAGUGUGGAUACAUAUGCCAUGUUGCCAUUCUUCUUAAUAUGCUUACUAAGUAUCCCUUGAUUCUAUGUUUAUAUAAUAAGCUUAAAAUAUUAAAACAUAAGAACAAGUUAAACAAGCACAAAGAUAGGGGAUGUUUGAAUAAAGGGGAGCAUGUAAAUUUUAAAACAAGAAUAUGAUUUUCAAAAAUAGUUGUGUCAUCAUAAAAAAUGGGGAGCUUGUUGAAAUAAAGGUUUAUUUGAGUUUUGAUGAUUACAAAUGUUUAACAAUAAGUCAAGUCUAAAAAUCACAUUAAACAACUUAGAAAUACAAGGACCAAAAAUAGUGGUCUUGAAAACAAUCCUACAUAUGAAUAAAAAAAGAUGUUAAGCUCUUUACAAGUCACGUUAAAUAUCAUUGUGCAUAUAAAAGAGGUAGAAAAGAUAAACCAACUCUUAAACUCAAAAUGGAUAGUUAACAAACUUAACUGAUAAAAAGACAAAACACAAAUUGCUACUGUCACAAGUUCGGACCGAACUUGUAUACCGAAGGUUAAAUGAAGCACAAUUGAACUUCAUCAAGUCAUCUAUUAACAGAUAUGAUCACUAGAAAAUCGUUAAACUACGACCGAAGUUCACAUUCAGUCAACCGAAGGCAAAAGAUGCACAACCAAUGUUGAAAUAGAGAACAAGGAUACUCACUGGGAUAACAGUUAAGACACGACUAUAGUUUACAUUCGGUCGACCGAAGUGUCGUCCAAAGUAUGUAAAGCCAAAAUAGAGCAACAUAAGUGAUCUCUAUAAUUACAGAAUAAUGUCGAUGAAAAUAAAAAAGCCCUCGAUCAAAGUUUUAAAUUCAUCAGCCAACAGAGUAUGCAAGUCACUGAAAUUUUAGUUCAAACUCGAUCAAAGUUCAAGUCAGUCGACUAAAGUUUUUGAUCGAAAUUUGAAAAGUUGAUCCUACAAUCCAAAUCAACAUCCAACAACUAAGACUCAAUUAGAACGGCUAGAUUAAAAGCAUUUUUGCUGCAAUAACUAUAAUCGACUUUUGACGAGGGGGGGGGGGAGGAGUGGGUGGGUUGGAGAGGGAGGGAAGGGAAAGAAGUGAAUAAGAUAUAAAGGAGGGGGAAGGAGUCGGGGGGGGGGUGGGGAGAGAAUUACUAAGGGAGGGAGAGGGGUUAUAAAUACAAUUUUGGGUUUGUUUGAAAGGUAUUGAAGUUUUUAACUUUCUACAAUCACUUGUAUUCAAUAUUCCUAAACAAACCUAUUUUAUCUCUUCAUAAUUUGCUUUGUAGUUAACAGUAAAUAUGAUCAAACCGCAUUAAUUUCUUUAAAUUCUUUCUUAUUAUUCUAUUUCUCUUUUCGAUUUUUCUGUAUCUAAAAUCAACAUGAUGACCAUGUUGUUUACUUGUCUAUUAACAAAUUUCUAUAAGAUGUCUUUGAAUGUACAAAAGAUCGUGAGUCACCAAUAGCCAACAGGUCAAAACCUAAACUUUCCAAUCUCAUUAAUAAAUAAAUAAGCAUGUUCUUAUAUAUUCGACACAACUUGUUUGCAGUGCAAUUCCAGAAUCUUGGGGUCUAUUUUGAACCCAUUUUGAUAAUUUAAAUUGUUCAUGUAAUAGAUUUUAUCGUAAAAAUUAAUAUUAUAAAAAAUUAUAUUAAUCAGAUACACAUUAAUAUACAUUUAGUACUAUUUUAUAACUUAAUAAAGUCAAAAAAUUCAAUUAUAAAGUCUAAUCUUUUAUAUUGUAAACCUCAUGAGCAGUUUUAAUAAAUUAAAAAAUGUCAAUACAUCACUACUGCCAUUGUCAACACAUUGUUGUUGGAGAGAUAAAUUUAAUUGUUUAAAAAUUAAAUUUCAUUAAUACCAAGUAUCUCCAUCUGACCACCACCUCCGUCCUCGCCAAUGUUUCUACUAGACAAAUCAACUACAUUUUAAAAAUUCAUUCAAAAAAAUUUUUGCUCAAAAAGUCAUCAUCGGCAACAGGCCAAAAAGUGGCAUCCGGGCACUUUUUGGUAGCCCAAGUUAGUGGUGACGGUGGAAAAUAGUAAAAAAUUAAAAGAAGCGUAGAAAGUAAUAGGAAUAUUUUUUUUUAUUUUAUUAAAAAAGAAUUUUAACUUUAAGAUUUGGUGACAAACGAAUUGUAGCAAGGACUAUGAACCAUCACUUAUGGCUAGAGCUGCUUUUUCAAAAUUGACGAACUCUACUUUCACUUUUUUUCAUGGAUAACAAGUGCGAAUCCAAGUCCACUCAAGCUGGGCUGUAAACAAAUCCAUAGUGACUCGAGACCAAGCCCCACAGUUCCCAAAUCAAAACACUUGGGAUAUUUGAUAACGUUUUUAUUUUUUUUAUUUUUUUUAUUUGUUUAAUUUUUAUUUUAUUUUGUUUAAUUUUUUGUAAAAUAGAAAUUAAAAAUAUUUUUGUGUUCACCUAUUUUUAAACUAUUUAAAAACAAAAUAUGUUUGUGUUAACUUUUUUUAAAACUAUGAAAAAAAAUGUAGAGGGCGUGGUGUGGAGGAAGUGGGUCGGUUGGAGGUGAUGGUGGAGGUGGAGGGGUCUGGUGUUGGAGGUGGAAGGACGGUUGCGUGGUGAUUGGUGGUGGUGGUGGUGGUGGUGGUGGUGGUGGUGGUGGUGGUGGUGGUGGUGGUGGUGGUGGUGGUGGUGGUGGUGGUGGUGGUGGUGGUGGUGGUGGUGGUGGUGGUGGUGGUGGUGGUGGUGGUGGUGGUGGUGGUGGUGGUGGUGGUGGUGGUGGUGGUGGUGGUGGUGGUGGUGGUGGUGGUGGUGGUGGUGGUGGUGGUGGUGGUGGUGGUGGUGGUGGUGGUGGUGGUGGUGGUGGUGGUGGUGGUGGUGGUGGUGGUGGUGGUGGUGGUGGUGGUGGUGGUGGUGGUGGUGGUGGUGGUGGUGGUGGUGGUGGUGGUGGUGGUGGUGGUGGUGGUGGUGGUGGUGGUGGUGGUGGUGGUGGUGGUGGUGGUGGUGGUGGUGGUGGUGGUGGUGGUGUGGUGGAAAAAAUUUAGAUAAAAAAAUUUUGAAUGAAAAAGUUUUAUAAACAAAACAAAAAUAACUUUUUCUUGUUUUUACUAUUUUCAAAAAUAGUGGAAGUUGUUUAGCCUUAUUUUUUCAUUUAUUUUUUUCAACACAAACAAGAUUUUGUUUACGUUUAUUUUCAAAAACAGAAAUUAAACAAAAAAAUAAAAAUUAAACAGUUAACAAACAAGCCCUUAGCUUUGAAAUAUGUUAAAUGAAUUAUUUUUUUCCAUGCUAAAUAGUUUGUGGUUUUGUGGAGGUUGUUGGUGCAUGAGUACGGGUACUUUUUUUGAAGUUGGAAUUUGGACUGCACCAGUUCAAGUUUUUUAAACUUUUAGUCCCUUUGUAUAUUCCAUCUUUAAAAUUUUAGAACUCAGUAACUUUUAACCCAUUAGUAUCCACUAGAAAUAUCAUUUCACUACAAGAAAAGAAAAAGAUUUUUUGCCUCAAGGACGUGCCGCCACAAAUAAUCACCUUUCCGUUGUAAAAAAUUUUUGCCCCGGAGGACUAGGUGGCAAUUGGUGGGUUUGCAAGAGCUUUUUGCGGUGGCAUCAGACCAUGGCAAAUACUGUAGCCACACUUUACAAUCAAUAAUCCUAAGUCAAAAAAUGAGUCACGAUCGACCACUUGAAUGAUAUUGACAGCAUCCUUCAAACCUAAUGGGAAAAUUGUUACUCGAAAACAUAAACCCCUCAUGGCUUAAAAAUUUUCACCAUGGUCUAGUCAAAUCUAUAGUACCAUUAAAAAUGAUUCUGUCAAAUUGAAAUGUUAAAGGAUGCACACAAAUCAUAAUAUUAAGUCUGCCUAGGCGUCAAAAUUGUGGGAAAAACAAAUUUUCACUUGGCUGGUAGUUCAGUAGCUAUUUGGUGAGUUAAAAAGAGGAUAUUCUUAUUCAAGGGAAGAAUAAUGACGGGGGGACAUCCUUUCUCUUCCAGAUCAGAAGAAUAUACAACACAUCUGCAUCUACAUUAUCAAUCUCCUCUCUCUCCCAACUUUAAAAUCUUUCAGAUAUUUCUAAGUAACAUCCCUAAUAAACUUGGCAUUGGUCCAAAGUCGUGCAGCAUUAAAGCCUAUCAUGUCCCUCUCUUCCAUCUUUAAAAUCUUUCAGAUAUUUCAAGAAAACAUCCCUAAUAAACUUGAUAUUGAUCCAAAGUCGUGCAGCAUUAAAGCCUAUCAUGUCCCUCUCUCCCAUCUUCACAAUCUUCCAAAUAUUUCAAGAACAUAUCCCUAAUAAACUUGAUAUGAUCCAAAGUCGUGAAACACCAAAGUCUAUCAUGUCCAUCUCUUCCAUCUUUAAAAUCUUCCAAAUAUUUCAAGAAAACAUCCCUAAUAAUCUUGACAAUGAUCCAAAGUCGUGUAGCAUUCAUACCCCUCUCCCAUCUUUAAAAUCUUCCAAAUAUUUCAAGAAAACAUCCCUAAUAAAUUUGAUAGUGAUCCAAAGUCGUGCAACACUAAAGUCUAUUAUGUCUCUCUCUUCCAUCUCUAAAAUCUUCCAGAUAUUUCGAGGAAACAUCCCCAUAAUCUUGGCAAUGAUCCAAAGUCGUGUAGCAUUCAUACCCCUCUCCCAUCUUUAAAAUAUUUCAAAUAUUUCAAGGAAACAUCCCUAAUAUAGUUGGUAGUGAUCCAAAGUCACGUAGCAUCAAAGCCUAUCAUGUCCCUCUCUCCCAUCUUUAAAAUCUUCAAGACAUUUCAAGGAAAUAUCUCUAAUAAACUUGGCAAUGAUCCAAAGUCGUGUAGCAUUAAAGCCUAUCAUGUCCCUCUCUCCCAUCUUUAAAAUCUUCAAGAUAUUUCAAGGAAACAUCCUUAAUAAACUCGGGAAUGAUCCAAAGUCGUGCAGCAUUAAAGUUUACCAUGUCCCUCUAUUCCAUCUUUAAAAUCUUCCAAAUAUUUCAAGAAAACAUCCCUAAUAUAGUUGGUAGUGAUCCAAAGUCAUGUAGCAUUAAAGCCUAUCCGUCCCUCUCUCCCAUCUUUAAAAUCUUCCAAAUACUUCAAGAAAACAUCCCUAAUAAUCUUGACAAUGAUCCAAAGUCGUGUAGCAUUAAAGCCUAUCAUGUCCCUCUCUCCCAUCUUUAAAAUAUUCAAUAUAUUUCAAGGAAAUAUCUCUAAUAAACUUGGCAAUGAUCCAAAGUUGUGUAGCAUUAAAGUGUAUCAUGUCCCUCUAUUCCAUCUUUAAAAUCUUCAAGAUAUUUCAAGAAAACAUCCCUAGUAUACUUGGCAGUGAUCCAAAGUCGUUUAGCAUUAAAGCCUGUUGAAAUAAAAGUUUAUUUUAUUUUGAUGAUUAAGCUAAGUCAAGUUUAAACACCGAUGAAAAUCGUAUUAAGGAAGAAAAAAUAAACAAACACGUGCUAAACUUAUAUUAGUCACAAACAAAUUUAUUUUAAGAAGAAAAGAACUACAAAGAUUGAUAAAACAACUUAGAAUUCCAAUAACUGAAGUCAACUGGUUUACAUUCGUAAAAGAAACAACAGUGGUAUUGAAAGUAAAGCUAAUCAUGUUUAAAGUGAGAAUUGAAACUCUCUACAAAUCAUAUUCAAUGCUAUCAUUCACGCAAAAAUGGUAGAAAAGCUAAAUAAAAGAUUGAACUCAAAUUGAAUAGUUAACCGCCCAAAUUGAUAAAAAGACAAAGCAUAAACUGCUAUUGUCACAAGUUCAAUCUACCGAAUUAAUUGACCAAAGCUUAAGAGUCUCAACCAAAGUCUGAAGGUUCAAAAUAGUUGCCCAAGUUGCUCACUCAAAAUAUAGUUCAGACAACACCGAAGUUCACAUUAGGUCGACCAAAGUUAAAGAAGGUACAACCAGAAAGUGAAAUAGAGGACAUGCGUGCUCACUAGAAAAACAGGUUUACUACGACCAAAUUUUAUAUUCGGUCGAUCGAAGUUAAGAAAAUCACAGCUGAAUUUAAAACAGAGCAACUAAGUGCUCUCUAGAAUUGAAGAACAACGUCUAUCAAACUUGACAUUCGGUUGACUGAAAGGAAAAAGCCCUCGACUGAAGUUAUAAAUCACUUAGUAGACAGAAUGAACAAGCCAUUAGAAUUUCAUUACAACCACGAUCGAAGUUCAAGGUCGGUUGGCCGAAGGUGUCGAUUGAAGUUCGAAAAGUUGAUCCUGACUGUCCAAAUAAAGAUUUAACGGCUGAGAUUCAAUCAGAAUGACUAGAUCAGAAGUAUCAAAUUCUGUAACGACUCUAAUCUACUUUUGGCUUAUAAAUACAAUUUUGGGGGUUGUUGGUAAUAUAUUGAAGUGCCAUAUAUUUUUAAAAUCACUUGUAUUCAAUACUUCAAUCCCUUUAUCAUUUACUUAUGAGUUUUGAUUUGUGAGAGUUAGAUCACUCUAGACAAAAGAAAGUUUCAUUAUAAUUAUCCUUGUUCUAGAAUUGGUUAGAUAAGAGUUACUUUAAUUGGAAAAAUCAAUAUAAGUUCUAGUGUUUGUAAAGGUUGUGAAGAUCAAUAUAGUUCCCAAGAGAUGGAGUCUCUUGAACACUAGAAGAGUUCUAGUGUUUGUAAAGGUUGUGAAGUACCCGCAAACUUGAAGAUAGUAAAUUUUCAAGGAGAAUCUUGAAGAGUAGACGUAAAUCGAGAUUUGUCAGACCACUAUAAAUCUACGUUCCAAUCGAGUUUUAAAAAACAAUUAUAACUAAACAACGUAUAUUGCAAAUAACUAAACAUCUUCUAUUGUAGAGCACAACUUAUGUAAAACCUUGAUAAUUCAAACAUAAAAAUAAGCUUUUUAAGAUGUUCUUGACCCACAAAUAAAAAGCAAAAUUUGUGACGAGCUUUCUAAAACAUGAAAAAGCGAAAACUGCAACCACCAAAAUUGUGGGCAAUACUCCGAGGAUUCUUAGGGCAAGUAUUUGACGCUGACCUGGAACACAUGUCUCGCUCUUUGAUUAAAGCAUAUGCUCAAAAUCACAUUUUUAAAGAUAAAAUCACGCUUAUUUUCAUUAUUUUACGAAUAAAAAGUUUUAAUACAUCAUUACUGCACUGUCAACACAAUUGUGAUUGGAGAGGGAAAUUUCAUUGUUUUCACCAAGUCCAAGUCUACUACUGUUGAGUUGUAAACAAAUCCAUAGUAUCAAGACCAAACCCCCCCAGUUCCCAAAUCAAAACACUUGGCCUUGAAAUAUGUUAAAUCAACAAAUUUUUUUCCAUGCAAAGUAAGUAGUGCGUUUUGUGGAGGUGCUGGUGAGAUGAGUUAAGGGUAUUUUUUUUAACGACCUAGUUCCUUUAAAGUUGGAAUUUGGAUUGCUCCAGUGCAAUUCAAAUUUUUUGAGUUCACUUUGGGCUAAGUUUGAUCAUUCAAAAUGUUUAUAUUGUAAACUCUAAUGUCAAGAUCAGUAUUACAAAAGAUGCGUUGAUCGAAACACAAUCUAGAAUCCGUUUAUUACUGUCUCAUAUUCGAAACUUCUGAAGUGUCAUCAAUUUUUAAUUUGGGGUUUAAAUCCAUUGUUAAUGGACAGUGAGAUUAAUUCUUUAAAUUAGUGGGUCCUGAGACAGAUACCGAAUUAUUAAAAAUAGUAUAUUUGUGGAAAAUAUUAUACAAUUAAUUAUUAGGAACGAAAGAGAUUAGGAGCUUUUAGUCCCUGCUCUUUUACUCCUACUAUCCAUGCCUUCAAAACAAAUGAAUGUGUGUAUGUUUUUAUCACUUCAAUCCAUUCCUAACAACCCCAAGGGUUAAUUUUAAAAGUUCCAAAUUGGAUAGAGACGUUGCAUCAUUAAUUGCACUAAAAAGAACCGUUCUGAUUUGAUUUCAGUCAUUGGAUCUGAGAUUUUGAUAUGCUAGAGUGAAAUUUAAAAGUCGGUCGUCGUACUUUCUAAAACUUUGGUUGACCGAACUUUAACUUCGGUCAUGUUUGAACUGAAUCUCUAAGUGGCUAAGUUAAUUGCUCUAUUUUACUUUCCUGAACUUCGAUCGUCCCUAAUUUGGACUUUAGACUUCGGUCAACUAAAUUUUAAGUUCGGUCGUUUUUGUACUGCAUUUUCAGGGGUUUGCUUAGAUACUCUGCUUAGAUACUCUGCUUCAUCUUUUGAAUUUGGCUUCUACCUUAAAGAUUCGGCUGUGCUCUGAACUUUGGUCGUGUACUUCUGAAUGUUCGGUCGACCAUUAAGUUGGAUUGUCAUUAGCUUGUUUUUCCAGAGAGCUUUUACUUACAUUAUUAAUUGAGAGUUCCUAGCAUUCGGCUGUGCUUUGGGACUCAGUUCUUGAACUUUGGUCGAUCCUUCUUGGACUUCGGUCGCCUCUGACUGAGUUUCUGAGAGCAUACUCUGUUCUUAACAAUAAUCUUUGUUUUGCUUGUGUUAGCAUUCGACGUUCAAACUCUUUUAGAUCUACCCAAGUCUAUUUCUAAGACCACCCUUUAUUUUUCUUUUUAUCGAUGAUUUUCAAACGCAACUUAGUUUAAUCCUUUGUAAUCAUCAAAAUUAAUUACUUUAUUUAAUAAAUAUAAUUUAUUUGUAAAAGAAAAGUGUAAUUUUUUUGAUGGUGUCAAUUGACCCCACGACCAUUGUGACAUAUACCCCGAGGAUUCUUACGGUAAGUAUUUUAGGUGACGGAACACAUGUCUCAGUCUUUGAGUAAAGCAUACGCUCAAAAUCACAAUUUUUAAAGAUAUUCCACAUAUUUUUCAUUAUUUCACCAAUAAAAUAGUAUCAAUACAUCACUACUGUCAGCACUAUUGUGGUUGGAGAGAGAAAUUUCAUUAUUUUAUCAAGUCCAAGUCCAAGUCCAAGUCCAAGUCCAAGUCCACUCCUGCUGAGUUGUAAACAAAUACAUAGUGGCUCAAGACCAAACCCCACAGUUUCCAAAUCAAAACACUUUGGCUUUGAAAUAUGUUAAAUCAACAAUUUUUUUCCAUGCAAAAUAGUUACUGUGGUUUUGUGGAGGUUGUUGGUGCAUGAGUUAUGGAUAUUUUUUUAACGACCUAGUUUCUUUGAAGUUGGAAUUUGGAUUGCACAAGUGCAAUUCAAGUUUUUUGAGUUCACUUUUGGACCCUGUUUGAUCAUUUAAAAUAUUUAUAUUGUAGACUCUGAUGCCAAGAUCAGUAUUAAAAAAAGACCACGUUGAUCGAAUAAAUUUAGAAUCCGUUCAUUAAUAUCCCGGAUUCGAAACUUCUUAGGUGUUACUAAUUCUUAAUUUGGGUUCAAACCCACCGUUAAUGGACAGGAGAUUAAUUUUCUAGAUUAGUGGGUCUUGAAUCAAAUACCGAGUUAUCAAAAAUACUAUAUUGUGGAAACUAUUAGUACAAUUAAUUUGUUAGGAAUGUAAGAGAUAGGAGCUUUUAGUCCCUGCUCUUUUUGGCCUACUAUCCCUUUCCUUGCAAAACAUAUGUAGUGUAUCCCAUCUUUAAAAUUUUAGAACUCAGUAAUUUUCUUGUAAGUUGUAACUCAUUAGUAUCCACAAGAAAUAUCAAAAAUAGUCACCUCUCCGCCGUAAAAACUCUUUGCCACGGAAGGACUAGGUUGGCAAUUGGUGGGGUUGCAAUAACUUUUUGCGUUGACAUCAGACCAUGGCAAACACUGUUGCUACACUUUUUCAACUAAUAAUCCCAAGGCAAAAAAUAACAGUAUAAAUUGUUACUCUAAAACAUUAAUCCCUCAUGGCUUAUAAAUUUUCAACAUGGUCUAGUCAAAUCCAUAUUACUAUUAAAACGAAAGAUGUUUGUCGACUUUUCAAUUCCCAAAAUGCCCUUGGUUCAAUAAAAAAAGGAAUAUUGAAGUUGUGAUUUUGUUUUUGAGGAAAAAAAAAAACUUACUCUCACUUAGACACGUAAAACCAAGCCUUUUAUUUUACUCCUCCAGAAUUCAUUCUAUUCAUUCCAGCCAUAACAGACAACGCUUCGGUAAUCCUAUCAACUCCAUUGUGUCUUCUUCAAUUGCCCAAUAGCUUCUUCUUCACUCUUAUCUUCGAAAGAAACUUUCCCUUGAUUGUUUAUGCUAUCUAACCUAAAUCAUUCAGAGAGCAGGAGAGGUGGAAAUAAUAGCAGCUUUCUAAAUGAACCCUAUUAUUUAGGAGAUGUCUUUCUACUUGGGAAGUGGAGCAAACAUAGUCUACUUCAAAUGAAAAUUGAGGAGUGGAUUCCGGUUACGGAUAAGAAUGAUUCUCUCAAAUUGAAAUGUUAAAGGAUGCAUAUAAUCAUAAUAUUAAGUCUGCCUUGGUGUCAAAUUGUGAUAUUUAGUAAGUUAAAAAGAGGAUAUUCUUAUUCAAGGGAGGAAUAAUGAUGGGGAUGUCUUUUCAUCUCUAGAUCAGAAGAAUAUACAACACAUUUACAUCUAUAUUAUGAAUCUCCUCUCUAUCCCAACUUUAAAAUCUUCCAGAUAUAUUAAGAAAGCAUCCCUAAUAAACUUGGCAUGGUCCAAAACGUGUAGCAUUAAACCUUAUCAUGUCCCUCUCUUCAUCUUUAAAAUCUUCAAGAUAUUUCAAAAAAACAUCCCUAAUGAACUUGACAGCGGUCCCAAGUCGUGUAGCAUUAAAUCCAUUGUUUGUCCCUCACUACAAUCUUUAAAAUCUUCAAGAUAUUUCAAGGAAACAUCCCUAAUAAACUUGACAAUGAUCCAAAGUUGUGUAGCAUUCUCUCCCAUCUUUAAAAUCGUCAAGAUAUUUUAUAGAAACAUCCCUAAUAAACUUGAUUGUGAUUCAAAGUAGCGUGUUAUGUCCCUCUCUUUUAAAGUAUAAUUUAUUAUUUAUUUUAUUAAUUAAUUCCAGAUAUCAAGUCAACACAUGGUAGGCUUUUAAAAUUACAUUUUGUGGCUGAAGAUGGUACCUGUCAUUCAAAAUAUUGACCCUUGCCGAGGUUGGUGAAUUGACUGCAAGCGGAGGACAAUUACACACAUUGUCUUGGCCUUGGAUAUUUCUCAUCUAAACUAAAAAUUUGGACUGUAAAUGGUGGCAGUUGACAAAAUGGGCCCAUCAAUGGAUGAGUACUAACAAAAGAAUUUAUUAAAAACCGAAAGAUCUCUUAAAAAAGCCAAAAUUUGGAGACUUGUUAGACAUAUAAUUUGGGGCCAAUUUUGAACAAAAACAAAUGAGGAAUUCAUACGUCUUUUUAACCGGAUCCAAAUUCGAAUAUGCUAUCUAUGUGAGAUGAUUAACAUCCGAUAUUUUUUUUAUUCAAAACGAAUAAAGAGUGAAUGAAAAAUUGACACCAAAAUUCACUAGUUGAAUAUUAGGUGAAGAAUGGUUAAAAAAUUGUUCCGCAUUGGUCAUUUAUGAGACCUUUAGUGGGUUUACAGGCUUCUCCUUGAACUUGGGCUUGGACUAAGGGGCACCACGGUUCUCUGGAGGAGGGAGGACCUAGCACCUUAUGUGUUGACCUUUUCAAAAGUUUUUAUUUUUCAGCACCUUAUUAUUUUUUAUAUAUGAUUUUAAAGCGGUUCAAAAGUUUCUUAUAGUUGUGGUAAUUGGGUCCUUUCAUUACGUAGUUUCGGCCAUAUGCUACGUAUAUGGGCAGUCAAAUGAGCAAAAACUUUCAUUAACAAAUUAAACGAUUGCUCUGAAGAGUUACAAAGGAGAAUGUGUGAAGAACUUUCUCUCCAAAGCCCCACCAAAAUCAAAUAUAAAUUUUCUCCAAACCUUAACUAGAAUCAAACCAAAAACUUUGUCAAACAAAAGGAUUAAAGAUUCACCAAAGUCCUCAAUUGUGGCACCAAAGGAACUACAAAGUUCGUCCAAAUACUAAGGGUCAACCCAGUCCCCUAUAGGGGGCUUCAAAGGAACUAUGAAGUUUAACAAUAUGAGAGUCUUUCCAAAUUUAUAACUAUGGAAUCCCUCAUAAAAAGAUAGUGUAUGGAAAUCUAUUACUUUCUUGUAGUGAUUUCUUUUAUUUUACUUUUUGAUUUAUUUCUAAAAUAUGCAGGGUUCCAUUUUAAGAGUUCGCUUAGGAAAGCUUAGGGCCGGCCCCUGAUUAGAUUCAUGUAUAAGUCAGUAAAUAAAGAGAUUUCAUGCACUGUUGAUUCACUGUGAAAACAAAUUGAAGUAUUUUAUUUGUUCAGCGUACAAUCACUGUAUUUCAAGAGACAGACAUCUAAAACAGUAAACACAGUGAUGAAGGAAAAUUCUGCAUUCAAGGACAUAGUGUUAAACACGAGCCUUGAUUAUUCUCCUUCGAAUUGCUCAUUGCAGAUUCUACAAUUUUUUUAUACAAAGCAUAUCUUCUUCUGCAAUCAGUCUUUUGUGUUCAAACCACAGGAUCUGUUUCUGAUUUUGUCUCUAAAAGUAAUUGUUGU
rnacentral:lncRNA from 1 species